rnacentral:rRNA from 1 species
AGAGCGAACGCUGGCGGCAGGCCUAACACAUGCAAGUCGAGCGCCCCGCAAGGGGAGCGGCAGACGGGAGAGUAACACGUGGGAACGUACCCUUUGGUUCGGAACAACACAGGGAAACUUGUGCUAAUACCGGAUAAGCCCUUACGGGGAAAGAUUUAUCGCCAAAGGAUCGGCCCGCGUCUGAUUAGCUUGUUGGUGAGGUAACGGCUCACCAAGGCUACGAUGGGUAGCUGGUCUGAGAGGACGAUCAGCCACACUGGGACUGAGACACGGCCCAGACUCCUACGGGAGGCAGCAGUGGGGAAUCUUGCGCAAUGCGCGAAAGCGUGACGCAGCAACGCCGCGUGGGGGAAGAAGGCUUUCGGGUGUAAACCCCUUUCAGUUGGGACGAAGCUUCGCCGGUGAAUAGCCGACUGGAGUGACGGUACCUUCAGAAGAAGCCCCGGCUAACUACGUGCCAGCAGCCGC